GUGACAUACCUAAACGUUGCUUCGGCGGGAACAGACGGCCCCGUGAAACGGGCCGCCCCCGCCAGAGGACCCCUAACUCUGUUUCUAUAAUGUUUCUUCUGAGUAAAACAAGCAAAUAAAUUAAAACUUUCAACAACGGAUCUCUUGGCUCUGGCAUCGAUGAAGAACGCAGCGAAAUGCGAUAAGUAAUGUGAAUUGCAGAAUUCAGUGAAUCAUCGAAUCUUUGAACGCACAUUGCGCCCGCCAGUAUUCUGGCGGGCAUGCCUGUUCGAGCGUCAUUACAACCCUCAGGCCCCCGGGCCUGGCGUUGGGGAUCGGCGGAGCCCCCCGUGGGCACACGCCGUCCCCCAAAUACAGUGGCGGUCCCGCCGCAGCUUCCAUCGCGUAGUAGCUAACACCUCGCGACUGGAGAGCGGCGCGGCCACGCCGUAAAACACCCAACUCUUCUGAAGUUGACCUCGAAUCAGGUAGGAAUACCCGCUGAACUUAAGCAUAUCAAA
rnacentral:rRNA from 1 species